rnacentral:lncRNA from 1 species
ACCGUUGUUGCCGCCGACUCUGUCUCACUUCAUUUCGCUCGUUCUACCCCUCUGUCCUGCCAUGUAGGCUGAGAGAGGAAACACGCUGAGGUGUAAAAACCCAUCAGGCGUUUCCUGCCACUGGGCAUCUACAACGCAACCAAUAGAAUCAGACCAACCUGCAGACCAACAGUCAGAAGAUCUGAUAGAAAAAUGCCUGUAUGCGUCUGCUCUGAGUCAUCUAAGCCACCAGGAGGUCUACAGAGAAAACACUUCAUUGUUGGGUGAGUCAAAGCAUGUGACUCAUUAGCUUCUACGUGUAACUGAAAUGAUUGGAUUGAAAUCUUUGUUUAAAAGAAAAGUACGGUUGUGUUGCAACUCUGUCAUGCUGUGUCAAAGUUUUGAUAUCUGACCAAGGUGAGCAGCCUUGCCACUGAAGGCCAUAUUCUUCAUGUGCUGAGAUGACAUAGUUAUUCUGUGACUUGAUAUUUGGGUCAUUCACAGUUCUGAGUCUGACACUGAGUGUUUAUGAAAUUUACGAGGAAGAAGAACUCCAUGUCUGCUAGCGGAGCUUAGCA